rnacentral:rRNA from 2 species
AUGGUUAAGUUAGAAAGGGCGCACGGUGAAUGCCUUGGCACUAGGAGCCGAUGAAGGACGGGACUAACACCGAUAUGCUUCGGGGAGCUGUAAGUGAGCUUUGAUCCGGAGAUUUCCGAAUGGGGAAACCCACUGUUCGUAAUGGAACAGUAUCUUUAUCUGAAUACAUAGGAUAUUGAAGGCAGACCCGGGGAACUGAAACAUCUAAGUACCCGGAGGAAGAGAAAGCAAAUGCGAUUUCCUGAGUAGCGGCGAGCGAAACGGAAUUAGCCCAAACCAAGAGGCUUGCCUCUUGGGGUUGUAGGACACUCUAUACGGAGUUACAAAGGAACGAAGUAAAUGAAGCGACCUGGAAAGGUCCGUCGAAGAAGGUAACAACCCUGUAGUUGAAACUUCGUUCCCUCUUGAGUGGAUCCUGAGUACGGCGGAACACGUGAAAUUCCGUCGGAAGCUGGGAGGACCAUCUCCCAAGGCUAAAUACUACCUAGUGACCGAUAGUGAACCAGUACCGUGAGGGAAAGGUGAAAAGCACCCCGGAAGGGGAGUGAAAGAGAUCCUGAAACCGUGUGCCUACAAGUAGUCAGAGCCCGUUAACGGGUGAUGGCGUGCCUUUUGUAGAAUGAACCGGCGAGUUACGAUCCCAUGCAAGGUUAAGCUGAUAAGGCGGAGCCGUAGCGAAAGCGAGUCUGAAUAGGGCGUUUAGUAUGUGGUUGUAGACCCGAAACCAGGUGAUCUACCAUGUCCAGGGUGAAGUUCAGGUAACACUGAAUGGAGGCCCGAACCCACGCACGUUGAAAAGUGCGGGGAUGAGGUGUGGGUAGCGGAGAAAUUCCAAUCGAACCUGGAGAUAGCUGGUUCUCUCCGAAAUAGCUUUAGGGCUAGCCUCAUGUUGUGAGAGUCUUGGAGGUAGAGCACUGAUUGGACUAGGGGCCCCAACGGGUUACCGAAUUCAGUCAAACUCCGAAUGCCAAAGACUUAUCCAUGGGAGUCAGACUGCGAGUGAUAAGAUCCGUAGUCAAAAGGGAAACAGCCCAGACCACCAGCUAAGGUCCCCAAGUAUACGUUAAGUGGAAAAGGAUGUGGAGUUGCUUAGACAACCAGGAUGUUGGCUUAGAAGCAGCCACCAUUUAAAGAGUGCGUAAUAGCUCACUGGUCGAGUGACUCUGCGCCGAAAAUGUACCGGGGCUAAACGUAUCACCGAAGCUGUGGAUUGACAUCUUAGAUGUCAGUGGUAGGAGAGCGUUCUAAGUGCUGUGAAGUCAGACCGUAAGGACUGGUGGAGCGCUUAGAAGUGAGAAUGCCGGUAUGAGUAGCGAAAGACAAGUGAGAAUCUUGUCCACCGAAUGCCUAAGGUUUCCUGAGGAAGGCUCGUCCGCUCAGGGUUAGUCGGGACCUAAGCCGAGGCUGAAAAGCGUAGGCGAUGGCCAACAGGUUGAUAUUCCUGUACCACCUCCCCGCCGUUUGAGUAAUGGGGGGACGCAGUAGGAUAGGGUAAGCGCGCUGCUGGAUAUGCGCGUUCAAGCAGUUAGGCUGAUGAGUAGGCAAAUCCGCUCAUCAUAAAGGCUGAGCUGUGAUGACGAGGGAAUUAUAGUACCGAAGUUCCUGAUUCCACACUGCCAAGAAAAGCCUCUAGCGAGGCGGGAGGUGCCCGUACCGCAAACCGACACAGGUAGGCGAGGAGAGAAUCCUAAGGUGAUCGAGAGAACUCUCGUUAAGGAACUCGGCAAAAUGACCCCGUAACUUCGGGAGAAGGGGUGCUCUGGUAGGGUGUAUAGCCCGAGAGAGCCGCAGUGAAUAGGCCCAGGCGACUGUUUAGCAAAAACACAGGUCUCUGCGAAGCCGCAAGGCGAAGUAUAGGGCUGACGCCUGCCCGGUGCUGGAAGGUUAAGAGGAGGGGUUAUCCUUUGGGAGAAGCUCUGAAUCGAAGCCCCAGUAAACGGCGGCCGUAACUAUAACGGUCCUAAGGUAGCGAAAUUCCUUGUCGGGUAAGUUCCGACCCGCACGAAAGGCGUAACGAUCUGGCACUGUCUCAACGAGAGACUCGGUGAAAUUAUAGUACCUGUGAAGAUGCAGGUUACCCGCGACAGGACGGAAAGACCCCGUGGAGCUUUACUGUAGCCUGAUAUUGAAUUUUGGUACAGCUUGUACAGGAUAGGUAGGAGCCUGAGAAGCCGGAGCGCUAGCUUCGGUGGAGGCGUCGGUGGGAUACUACCCUGGCUGUAUUGAAAUUCUAACCCGCGGCCCUGAUCGGGCCGGGAGACAGUGUCAGGUGGGCAGUUUGACUGGGGCGGUCGCCUCCUAAAAUGUAACGGAGGCGCCCAAAGGUUCCCUCAGAAUGGUUGGAAAUCAUUCGUAGAGUGUAAAGGCACAAGGGAGCUUGACUGCGAGACCUACAAGUCGAGCAGGGACGAAAGUCGGGCUUAGUGAUCCGGUGGUUCCGCAUGGAAGGGCCAUCGCUCAACGGAUAAAAGCUACCCCGGGGAUAACAGGCUUAUCUCCCCCAAGAGUCCACAUCGACGGGGAGGUUUGGCACCUCGAUGUCGGCUCAUCGCAUCCUGGGGCUGUAGUCGGUCCCAAGGGUUGGGCUGUUCGCCCAUUAAAGCGGUACGCGAGCUGGGUUCAGAACGUCGUGAGACAGUUCGGUCCCUAUCCGUCGUGGGCGUAGGAAAUUUGAGAGGAGCUGUCCUUAGUACGAGAGGACCGGGAUGGACACACCGCUGGUGUACCAGUUGUCUUGCCAAAGGCAUCGCUGGGUAGCUAUGUGUGGACGGGAUAAGUGCUGAAAGCAUCUAAGCAUGAAGCCCCCCUCAAGAUGAGAUUUCCCAUAGCGCAAGCUAGUAAGAUCCCUGAAAGAUGAUCAGGUUGAUAGGUCAGAGGUGGAAGCGUGGCGACAUGUGUAGCUGACUGAUACUAAUCGAUCGAGGACUUAACCAAA